UACAGAGGGGGCGAGCGUUGUUCGGAAUUACUGGGCGUAAAGGGCGCGUAGGCGGCCACCGCAAGUCGGUUGUGAAAUCUCCGGGCUUAACCCGGAAAGGUCAAUCGAUACUGCGGGGCUAGAGUGCAGAAGGGGCAACUGGAAUUCUCGGUGUAGCGGUGAAAUGCGUAGAUAUCGAGAGGAACACCAGUGGCGAAGGCGGCUGCCUGGGCCAGUUCUGACGCUGAGGCGCGAAAGCGUGGGGAGCAAACAGG
rnacentral:rRNA from 1 species